rnacentral:rRNA from 1 species
UACGUAGGGGGGCUAGCGUUGUCCGGAUUUAUUGGGCGUAAAGAGCGUGUAGGCGGUCCGGUAAGUCCGCUGUGAAAGUCGGGGGGCUCAACCCUCGAAUGCCGGUGGAUACUGUCGGGCUAGAGUGCGGAAGAGGCGAGUGGAAUUCCUGGUGUAGCGGUGGAAUGCGCAGAUAUCAGGAGGAACACCGAUGGCGAAGGCAGCUCGCUGGGACGGUACUGACGCUGAGGCGCGAAAGCGUGGGGAGCGAACAGG